rnacentral:lncRNA from 1 species
GGUUUUUGUGAAAUUCGUUAAGGUUCGAAUCUCAUGACUACCGUUAAGGUUUGAUUUGGGUUCUACACCGAUACGUAUUCCAUUCUGUUAAACUAUGUAUUUAACUACCAAGAAUACUCCCAACUACACCCUCACAAUCAAACAAACUAUUAAAUCAUCAGAAGAUCCAGAAUAAUAAAGUGCAUGCCUAAUUAUCGGAAGAAGUAGAAUCAGGAAGUUUGUUAACUCAAUCCUGCAUGCUGAUUUGUAAUUACAGUAGAUUGGAGUAAGGAUUGGAUCCG